GACGAACGCUGGCGGCGUGCUUAACACGUGCAAGUCGAACGGAAAGGCCCUGCUUUUGUGGGGUGCUCGAGUGGCGAACGGGUGAGUAACACGUGAGUAACCUGCCCUUGACUUUGGGAUAACUUCAGGAAACUGGGGCUAAUACCGGAUAGGAGCUCCUGCUGCAUGGUGGGGGUUGGAAAGUUUCGGCGGUUGGGGAUGGACUCGCGGCUUAUCAGCUUGUUGGUGGGGUAGUGGCUUAUCAAGGCUUUGACGGGUAGCCGGCCUGAGAGGGUGACCGGCCACAUUGGGACUGAGAUACGGCCCAGACUCCUACGGGAGGCAGCAGUGGGGAAUAUUGCACAAUGGGCGGAAGCCUGAUGCAGCAACGCCGCGUGCGGGAUGACGGCCUUCGGGUUGUAAACCGCUUUCGCCUGUGACGAAGCGUGAGUGACGGUAAUGGGUAAGGAAGCACCGGCUAACUACGUG
rnacentral:rRNA from 1 species